CAUGCGUGGUCUCCUCUUGCCGUGUGUCGGGGUUGUUGCGGCCCCGCAGGAUGGGUGCCACGUGGUGAUUGUGGGGGCGGGGAUUGCCGGGCUGGCCACAGCGCAA
rnacentral:SRP_RNA from 1 species